UAUUAGUUUGAUUCUAACUAAUAGAUUAGUACAAUAUUACAAAUCUCAUGCUUUAAUUAAUAAAAAAUAAAAACCUAGAAUAUAACAUAAUAUGAAAAAUGUCUAAUAGCAGCGAUGGGUACUUUAAUUAUAUGUAUAUGCAUGAAAAGGUUUAAAUACUAUAGCCGGCCAAACUCGUGCCAGCAGCAGCGGUUAUACGAUAAGCCUCUAAUAACCAAAAUCAAAUAAAAGAUAAAAUAAAAUUAAUAUAGAAGUUAAAUCCCUACCAUUAAAGAACUUAUAUUAUCUGAUAAAAAGCUAUAAACUAAAACAAGGAUUAGAUACCCUUCUAUUAUUAGUAUAAAUAAUGAUUGGAGACUACGAGCAAUGGCUUAAAAACCCAAGAAUUUGGCGGUGUUUUAUUAAAUCAGAGAAAUCUGUCCCAUAAUCGAUAGUCCACGAAGAACCAACCUUAUCUUUGAAAAAACAGUUUGUGUACUGCCGUCCAAUGGGCCCCUUAAGGUUACCCAUAAUAAAUAAUAUAAUUAUACGUCAGGUCAAAGUGCAGCCUACAGAAAGGAAGGAGAUGGAUUUCAUUAUAUAACAUAGUUAAAAUUAUAUAAUAGAAUAAUAACAAAAAAGAAUUUGAUAGUAAUUUUAUUAUAUAAUAAAAUGAAAGUCACUUAAAACAAGCACACAUCGCCCGUCACUCCUUUAUAUAGGAUAAGUCGUAACAGAGUAGGUGUAAUGGAAAUUGCAUCUGUCAGAUU
rnacentral:ncRNA from 1 species